GUGCUCUCCUUGACAGCACAUACACUAAAAUUGGAACAGUACAGAGAAGAUUAGCGUGACCCCUGCAUAGGGAUAACAUGCAAAUUCAUGAAGCAUUGCAUAAGGAA
ensembl:snRNA U6 U6 spliceosomal RNA